ensembl:misc_RNA 7SK 7SK RNA
GUAUCUGAGGGCAAUCUGGCUGUGACGUCUGUCACCCCAUUGGUCACCAGGGUUGAUUCAGCUGAUCUGGCUCUCCCUCAUCACUCCAUGUAUAUCCCUCCCGAGGCUGCGUGCUCGGUCAAAAAGGACAACCAUCCCCGAUAGAGGAGGACUGUACUUCAGUCAAGGGUAUACGAGUAGCCAUGCUCCCCUACUAGAACCUCCAGUCAGGCUCUCCAGAUCCAUAAAUUUAAAAAUGCAUAAAGUAGAAAAAAAUUGAAACUGUGUACUGUU